GGGUUGUGAGGUUAAGCGACUAAGCGUACACGGUGGAUGCCCUGGCAGUCAGAGGCGAUGAAGGACGUGCUAAUCUGCGAUAAGCGUCGGUAAGGUGAUAUGAACCGUUAUAACCGGCGAUUUCCGAAUGGGGAAACCCAGUGUGUUUCGACACACUAUCAUUAACUGAAUCCAUAGGUUAAUGAGGCGAACCGGGGGAACUGAAACAUCUAAGUACCCCGAGGAAAAGAAAUCAACCGAGAUUCCCCCAGUAGCGGCGAGCGAACGGGGAGGAGCCCAGAGCCUGAAUCAGUGUGUGUGUUAGUGGAAGCGUCUGGAAAGGCGYGCGAUACAGGGUGACAGCCCCGUACACAAAAAUGCACAUACUGUGAGCUCGAUGAGUAGGGCGGGACACGUGGUAUCCUGUCUGAAUAUGGGGGGACCAUCCUCCAAGGCUAAAUACUCCUGACUGACCGAUAGUGAACCAGUACCGUGAGGGAAAGGCGAAAAGAACCCCGGCGAGGGGAGUGAAAAAGAACCUGAAACCGUGUACGUACAAGCAGUGGGAGCCUCUUUUAUGGGGUGACUGCGUACCUUUUGUAUAAUGGGUCAGCGACUUAUAUUCUGUAGCAAGGUUAACCGAAUAGGGGAGCCGAAGGGAAACCGAGUCUUAACUGGGCGUUAAGUUGCAGGGUAUAGACCCGAAACCCGGUGAUCUAGCCAUGGGCAGGUUGAAGGUUGGGUAACACUAACUGGAGGACCGAACCGACUAAUGUUGAAAAAUUAGCGGAUGACUUGUGGCUGGGGGUGAAAGGCCAAUCAAACCGGGAGAUAGCUGGUUCUCCCCGAAAGCUAUUUAGGUAGCGCCUCGUGAAUUCAUCUCCGGGGGUAGAGCACUGUUUCGGCAAGGGGGUCAUCCCGACUUACCAACCCGAUGCAAACUGCGAAUACCGGAGAAUGUUAUCACGGGAGACACACGGCGGGUGCUAACGUCCGUCGUGAAGAGGGAAACAACCCAGACCGCCAGCUAAGGUCCCAAAGUCAUGGUUAAGUGGGAAACGAUGUGGGAAGGCCCAGACAGCCAGGAUGUUGGCUUAGAAGCAGCCAUCAUUUAAAGAAAGCGUAAUAGCUCACUGGUCGAGUCGGCCUGCGCGGAAGAUGUAACGGGGCUAAACCAUGCACCGAAGCUGCGGCAGCGACGCUUAUGCGUUGUUGGGUAGGGGAGCGUUCUGUAAGCCUGYGAAGGUGURCUGUGAGGYRUGCUGGAGGUAUCAGAAGUGCGAAUGCUGACAUAAGUAACGAUAAAGCGGGUGAAAAGCCCGCUCGCCGGAAGACCAAGGGUUCCUGUCCAACGUUAAUCGGGGCAGGGUGAGUCGACCCCUAAGGCGAGGCCGAAAGGCGUAGUCGAUGGGAAACAGGUUAAUAUUCCUGUACUUGGUGUUACUGCGAAGGGGGGACGGAGAAGGCUAUGUUGGCCGGGCGACGGUUGUCCCGGUUUAAGCGUGUAGGCUGGUUUUCCAGGCAAAUCCGGAAAAUCAAGGCUGAGGCGUGAUGACGAGGCACUACGGUGCUGAAGCAACAAAUGCCCUGCUUCCAGGAAAAGCCUCUAAGCAUCAGGUAACAUCAAAUCGUACCCCAAACCGACACAGGUGGUCAGGUAGAGAAUACCAAGGCGCUUGAGAGAACUCGGGUGAAGGAACUAGGCAAAAUGGUGCCGUAACUUCGGGAGAAGGCACGCUGAUAUGUAGGUGAAGCGACUUGCUCGUGGAGCUGAAAUCAGUCGAAGAUACCAGCUGGCUGCAACUGUUUAUUAAAAACACAGCACUGUGCAAACACGAAAGUGGACGUAUACGGUGUGACGCCUGCCCGGUGCCGGAAGGUUAAUUGAUGGGGUUAGCGGUAACGCGAAGCUCUUGAUCGAAGCCCCGGUAAACGGCGGCCGUAACUAUAACGGUCCUAAGGUAGCGAAAUUCCUUGUCGGGUAAGUUCCGACCUGCACGAAUGGCGUAAUGAUGGCCAGGCUGUCUCCACCCGAGACUCAGUGAAAUUGAACUCGCUGUGAAGAUGCAGUGUACCCGCGGCAAGACGGAAAGACCCCGUGAACCUUUACUAUAGCUUGACACUGAACAUUGAGCCUUGAUGUGUAGGAUAGGUGGGAGGCUUUGAAGUGUGGACGCCAGUCUGCAUGGAGCCGACCUUGAAAUACCACCCUUUAAUGUUUGAUGUUCUAACGUUGGCCCCUGAUCGGGGUUGCGGACAGUGUCUGGUGGGUAGUUUGACUGGGGCGGUCUCCUCCUAAAGAGUAACGGAGGAGCACGAAGGUUGGCUAAUCCUGGUCGGACAUCAGGAGGUUAGUGCAAUGGCAUAAGCCAGCUUGACUGCGAGCGUGACGGCGCGAGCAGGUGCGAAAGCAGGUCAUAGUGAUCCGGUGGUUCUGAAUGGAAGGGCCAUCGCUCAACGGAUAAAAGGUACUCCGGGGAUAACAGGCUGAUACCGCCCAAGAGUUCAUAUCGACGGCGGUGUUUGGCACCUCGAUGUCGGCUCAUCACAUCCUGGGGCUGAAGUAGGUCCCAAGGGUAUGGCUGUUCGCCAUUUAAAGUGGUACGCGAGCUGGGUUUAGAACGUCGUGAGACAGUUCGGUCCCUAUCUGCCGUGGGCGCUGGAGAACUGAGGGGGGCUGCUCCUAGUACGAGAGGACCGGAACUUUAAGUCUCCUGAAGGAACGUUGAAGACGACGACGUUGAUAGGCCGGGUGUGUAAGCGCAGCGAUGCGUUGAGCUAACCGGUACUAAUGAACCGUGAGGCUUAACCUUACAACGCCGAAGRUGUU
rnacentral:rRNA from 1 species